UGUUCACAGAAUAGGUCAAACACAAAUACAUAACCAAUAAAUGUAGAGAAGGAUGCUUGCCUAUACAAACAAUCCCACUACAUAAAAAUUUAUGCAAUUAAAGAUCUACCAGGUUUCACGUUUUGCCCAGGAAAUUAGCUGAAAAGUAACAGGGGCCCUACUCUAAACUCUAAAAAAGUGUGUUGAGACAGGCAUGCCCCUCUGUAAUAACAUACACUGAAACAUUUUUUCUGGAAAGAAGGUUGAAAUAUAUGUCAACUGGACUUAUAAAUAUGGAUGUCAUUAAUCCAAUGUUCUAUUUACAGAUACAGCUUCUACAGAAAUAACAGAGCCCAUAAGAGGAUCUGUGUAUUCUACAUUCUUCAAGACCUGGAGCUUAUCUAUACAUAUAGAUAAGAUCUCAUAAAGCGUAAGGCGGUGUAACCUAAAGUGCUGGAGGAAGGAGUCAGUAGAUACCUUAGAAUGGCCCCUUUCAUCCUGAUCACAAGGCGUGGGACAUUAACAUGGAUCUAUGCUCUUCUCCAGCAGCUGGACCCAGGGUAACUUCUGAGAAAUGCUGACCUCUGCACUGACUUUAUGCAGAGAUGAAAGAAAUAUGUGUGCGUCUUAAAAGCAGUGAUUAAAGAUUUGUCGGACUUUCUACUAUUCUUUCAUCAUUUACCCAAACCUAUGAGUGUGACAAAGUGUAUGUCAUUAGAAGGCUUUUGUUAAAAAGUAACCACAUGAGAUACACGUGAUGAUGUGUGAAGGUUCCCCACCCCCAAAAAGGUUUGUUAAGAAGUUUCAAAUACUAACUUUUAGAUCAUCGGUAACAUUUUACAUCAGAAAGACAGUGUUUCUGAAUGUAGAUAUAUUGGGCCUCAGUUUACUUGUCUGUAACUCAGGGCCAAUAAUAGAGGGUCCUUGUGAUUAUUAAAUAAGUUAAUAGGUAUGAAGUGCUUUGAAAAAUACGUGGCAAUAGAAAGUGCCCCCCCACCCCAGACAGGAUAAAGGUAAAUAACUUCACCCAAGUCAUGCUGCUUGUUACUAAUUACCUACACUGCAAGAAUUGAUGUAUGUUUCUUGACUUAUAGUUUAGCAAGAAGUUGAGAAAGAUACUAUACAAGUGAUGUUAAUUUUAUAUGCUCACCGUGUUCAGCCACUGAGAUUUUGGCAUUCAUCUCUUAGGCAGCCUGUGUUACUAGAACUAUUACCCAAAUUGUACUUAGAAGUGAGGAGAGGUGUAACAACAACAACAACAACAACAACAACAACAACAACAAAAGCCUAAAAGAUAUAUCUCUUAGCUUGGUAAGACGUCAGUGGAUGGCAAGAAAAUUUGUGUAAGAGGCUAGAAAGAUGGAGACCCAAGGUAUACAGUGACAAAAUAUCUGGCAAGACCAGCUGCAAAAUCCUGGAAAGUGAACUGUAUGUUUACCAAAUCUGCAUCCAUCAGAGUACCCGAAUAAAUUAAUGAAUGGGCAACGCCUCUACCCACCUGUUGUAUUUUAAAUGAGUGAAAAAUGAAAUUCUACUUUGUUGGUCAUUAAAAAUUUAGGUUCAUAUGUUAUUGCAGGUAG